GCCGGGUGUGGUGGCUCACGCCUGUAAUCCCAGCACUUUGGGAGGCCGAGGCGGGUGGAUCACCUGAGGUCAGGAGUUCAAGACCAGCCUGACCAACAUGGCGAAACCCCGUCUCUG
rnacentral:SRP_RNA from 1 species